rnacentral:rRNA from 1 species
AGAGUUUGAUCCUGGCUCAGGACGAACGCAGGCGGCGUGCUUUAUACAUGCAAGUCGAACGAUGAAGUUCCUUCGGGAAUGGAUUAGUGGCGAACGGGUGAGGAACACGUGAGAAACCUGCCUUUCAUUCUGGGAUAACACCGGGAAACCGGUGCUAAUACCGGAUACUCCGUCUUGGCGGCAUCGCCGAGCCGGGAAAAAAUUUUGGUGAAAGAUGGUCUCGCGGCCUAUCAGCUAGUUGGUGAGGUAAUGGCUCACCAAGGCGACGACGGGUAGCCGGCCUGAGAGGGCGACCGGCCACACUGGGACUGAGACACGGCCCAGACUCCUACGGGAGGCAGCAGUAGGGAAUAUUGGGCAAUGGGCGCAAGCCUGACCCAGCGACGCCGCGUGAGGGAUGAAGGUCUUCGGAUUGUAAACCUCUUUCAGUAGGGAAGAAGCGAAAGUGACGGUACCUAAAGAAGAAGCACCGGCUAACUAUGUGCCAGCAGCCGCGGUAAUACAUAGGGUGCAAGCGUUGUCCGGAAUUAUUGGGCGUAAAGAGCUCGUAGGUCGUUUGUCGCGUCGAUUGUGAAAAUCUGAGGCUCAACCUCAGACCUGCAGUCGAUACGGGCAAACUAGAGUGUGGUAGGGGAGACUGGAAUUCCUGGUGUAGCGGUGGAAUGCGCAGAUAUCAGGAGGAACACCAAUGGCGAAGGCAGGUCUCUGGGCCAUAACUGACACUGAGGAGCGAAAGUGCGGGGAGCGAACAGGAUUAGAUACCCUGGUAGUCCGCACCGUAAACGGUGGGCACUAGUUGUGGGAACCUUCCACGGUUUCCGCGACGCAGCAAACGCAUUAAGUGCCCCGCCUGGGGAGUACGAUCGCAAGAUUAAAACUCAAAGGAAUUGACGG